rnacentral:snoRNA from 1 species
CAGUCAUUACCAAGGCUUUCUGAAUGAAGUUUCUCAUUUGCGUCGGACAUGACCAUAAAAAAAUUUCCCACUAGGUUUUCUGUCUGCUACCUUGUUAGCAAUCAACCUGUUGGGAACCUUC